GGCAGCUUGUUCUCCACCUUUCACCGACUGGAAACCUCGUCUUGGACACUCAAUUCAGUCAACUCUGUCUCUUCUCAUAAGCUUUUCCAUCUCCCACGUUGGAGUCCCUCACCCACAACCGACUCCCACUAGAUGGACAGAGUCAAAUGUGGAGACCUACAUUGUGAACUUUUGCUCCAAGAACUACCACAGGAACAUACCAGGAAAGCCAAGAGAAUCCACAGACACUCUGAAGGAGGUGACAGCCAAGGAACUUUACAGAAACAAACACCAUCCUUUCCCAAUUCAUCUUCAUCUCAUUAUCGGGC